CUCAAGAUCCUUCAAAGGGUCAAUCUUGACUUUGAGCAUUGAUAUUUGUGAGAAUGGCAAUGUCUAGAGUUGCUGUGUUGGCCAUGAUUGUUGUGGCAUUGGCCACUGUCAUCCCCUUUGUACAAGCUCAGGAAUUUGCACCUGCACCUGCUCCUGCACCUGCCAAUGAUGGUAUGUUCCAUUUUUCCCUCCCUUCAAUCUUCAUACAAAUUUAAAAAAAUUAUCAUAAAGAAUCUUAACACAUUUACUAAUCCUCCUUAUACAUCUUUGUGUUACACUUAGGAUUUAAAAUCAGUUAUUUUUUUUGUUUUUCCGUUGGUGUCUAGUAUCCAUAUUGUGGCUCCAAUUUAUCCGAAUUUGCAUCGCAUAAAACCAAGUAAAAGGGAAUUGAUUCUUUAUGAGAAUUUUUUCUCUACCAAAAGCUCGAACCAAAAGCUAUGAUAUUAUUGGUAGAUGGAUCUGUUCAUCCCAUUAUAAUCUUUGGUGGUAGAUUAAGAUUCAGUUGAUUAAGAAUGAAUACGAUAUUAUUACAUAUACAGAUACAUAUUGAUAAAAUAUUUGCUAGUAGUGUUAGAGAGGUCAUAUUUGUGUUUUCUCGGUUCGAAUUAAGUUGUUGUACCAUGGAAUUCUUGUUUUUUUUUUUCCUGUCCCAAUUUCUUCUGACAUUUACUUUUUUUGAUAACUUACUUCGAUCAAUUUUUCCAAAUAAGUUUUGAUGUAAUUGUUUCCCCUCUAAAAUAGAACUUGGUAACUUAGAGACCAAGUCAAGAAUGUCCAAUUUUUAUCAUUUAAAAAGCUGAUGUUUAAAAAGUUACUAUUAUGGAACAAAACAAUAGUGGGAGGACAUGCAUUGUAAACUAUGAAGGGGUCAUUUGGUUGGAAAUAAGUAAUCUCAUCUUUUUAUAGGAUAAAAAAUAUUAAAUCCCGGAAUAACUAAUUUCAAGAUUAGUUAUAUUACUAUUUUAUCCCAAUUAAAUAUGAGAUAAACUCAUCUCAAAUUUAAUUCCGAAAUAAAUUAAUCCUUAUCCUUCGUACGAAACAAGGCCUAAUACUCCUAACUAACAUGUCAAUUACCCUGUAAUUUUUCUUUCUAUCAAACUUUUGCGGGUGAGAACUGAGGAGGAAGAAAGAAUAGUGGAAGAGGAAACAAGAAGUGGUGUAAAGACAACAACAACAACCCAAUAUAAUCUCACUUAGUGGGGUCUGGGAAGGGUAGUGUGUAUGCAGACCUUACCCCUACCCUUGGGUAGAGAGGCUGUUUCCAAAUAGACC
rnacentral:lncRNA from 1 species